AGCUCCAAUAGCGUAUAUUAAAGUUGUUGCAGUUAAAAAGCUCGUAGUUGGAUUUCUGGCAGGAGGGACCGGUCACGCACUCUGUGUGUGAACUUGGCUCCCUCUGGCCAUCCUUGGGGAGAUCGUGUUUGGCAUUAAGUUGUCGGGCAUGGGAUACCCAUCGUUUACUGUGAAAAAAUUAGAGUGUUUAAAGCAGGCUUAUGCCGUUGAAUAUAUUAGCAUGGAAUAAUAAGAUAGGACUUCGGAACUAUUUUGUUGGUUUGCGUUACGAAGUAAUGAUUAAUAGGGACAGUUGGGGGUAUUCGUAUUUCGUUGUCAGAGGUGAAAUUCUUGGAUUUCCGAAAGACGAACUACUGCGAAAGCAUUUACCAAGGAUGUUUUCAUUA
rnacentral:rRNA from 1 species